CGCUCCACCAUUCCAUGUGUCCUGCCAGCCCACCCUGAGGACGUUGGGAAGGCACAUCCUUCCAGCAAUCUGAGCACCCAAGAUGGAGACUCCGGGGCCUGGAGGAUUUUGAGAAGAGCUGCAGAGGAGCCGUGCACAUCUUCUCUCCAUUCUUUCCUGUGCAUGACUGGCCUCUCUGUUCAGAAGCGGAUUGCUGGUGCUCAUCACUCCCCCUCACCCGAAGGAUGGCCGUCUUCCAUGUCACACAGCAGAUGUGAACCGCGGGGACAAGGGUCACGCCGGGUCACACUCACUGAGUCGCCUGGAUCUUCUUCAACUCUGCCUCAAGGAAUGCUGGCUAUUCCUGGGGACAGGGCAGCAGGAGGGAAGCCGAGGAGGGACUCCCUGGACCCUGCACCCAGGAGGACCACUGUGACAGCCUGGCAGGUGGUUCCCAAUGCGCUCCGGACACCAGGCAAGAGAUCCACAAGUCCUUCCUCAGCGGAGUCUCCCAAGAGCCCAUCCGGAGGCCCAGUCAUUUCCUCAUUGCGCAGAAGGGGAAGCUGAGGCUCAGGGCCUCCCCUGCAGUCACCAGCUAGAGAGAGGCUGAGCAUCGCCUAGGACCCCUGUCUCUCUGGCCCAGGGUCAUUCUGCCCAGUGUCCCACAUUGCAACCUCCUGGAGCUCAGGACUCCUGUCUUUCCUGGAGCCAGCCCCAUUCCGGCCUCCAGCCAUCACUGAACUUGAGGCCCAGGGCCAUCCCGUUUGCUUGGGGCUGGGGUGGUGACCAGGUUGGCCAGCCACAGACACUGUGGGCUCUCCGAGGACCAGGACCAGCCUAUCCCCCCGCAGGAUGAGGUCUCUCUGGGCACCAGCACCAAAGAUUGUCAGAACUUUAGGGAAAAGAGGUCCUUCCUGGUCAGGGGGGCCCAUGGGGCCUAAGAGGCACUGGCUUCCAGUCCUGGCUCUGCUCCUCUGUUGGGCACAGAGGGACCCAGUCUCUUUAAGCCUCGGUUUCCUUAUCAGUGAAUUGAAGGCCAGAAUCCCUCAUGCCCCACUGGGCUGCCAGGAGGAUUGGGAGAGACAGCUCAUGUGGCAAAUAGAGGCCUGGUCCGAGCUCGUGCCCAGGAGCCGAUCCUGCUGACAUCACCCCUAGGAGAGCCCCUGGGGCCCUUGGCCUCUGACCACUCUGUUCUCCUGCCAGGCAUGUCCGACUCGCUCUGACUCCUUUGUUCCUCUGGAAUAUCUUUCUCCACCCCAUCCGGUGCCAUGACGGUCUGCCAGCCCGGGUGGGAUCCAGGCCCCCGGCCCAGCUCUGCUCCUGGGAUUCCUCAUCAUGGGAGCUAGUAGCUGUGGGGCUCUUCGAAGGAGCAGCCACUCCAAGUGCAGCCUCUGUGAACUUGUCUCACACUACCACGGAAGGUCGGCUGCCAGCCCAGUGCUCAGGGGAGGAAAGCGAGGCUCGAAUGGCAGUCCCUUGCCAAGGUCCCCAGGGCUCUCUCCCUCAUCCCCACUAAGCACAGCCCCUCCCUCCCAGAAGCAGAGUCUGCUGGCUGUGUGGACCAGGGGCUGGCACAGAGCCUGAGGCAAGGGUCACUGCUAGAGGACCCUAGCUCUGCUUUGGGCUCAAUGACCUUCUCCAAAGCCCCCCAGCCCCAGGCUUAGAGCUCUGGCACCUUCCACGAGGCCUCCGCCAUACCUUGUCAAAGUCCCUUCUGCUCACACGAGGUCCAGCGGGUCCUGCGCAUGCAGCUGAGAACGACCCCUGGAUGGAGCACGUUCGAGGUGGUCCCUGUGACUCUGUGCACUGCCCUAGAUAUUCUUUCCUGCCUCGAGGAUGGGGUUUGGAGGGAGAGAGAGCAGGCAGGAGUGUGUUGGCCCUCCUCAUCCUCUGUCCUGGUCAGCAGGUCAGGCUGCUCAGCUCAGGAGAGUUAGAGGCUGGGAGGGGCAUUGGGAGGCCAAAGUGGGCUAGGGAGGUGGAGGGUGGGACCAGGGAUGAGGGCAGCAGCAGGACCAGGAGGGCAGGAGGGGGGCCCUCCAGCUGGGUAGGUCACCCCUGGUGCCUUCCUCACCUGCAUCCUAGCAGCCAGUCCUUGUCCAUCCCUCCCUGAGUUCUCUGCCCCAGGCUCUCUGCAUCCCCACGUUCCCAAACCAGGCUCACAGCAGAGAAGGAGACCUUGAAGGUCAGAGAGUGACCGACAGCGGAACACCGUGUUGACGUCAUGUGCCAGAAUCUCCCCCUCUGGGGAUAUGUCCUCCAGGAUCAGAGAUUGAGGGAGGCUGAUGUUCCCAUCAGCGUGAGGAGGGGAGAGGAAAGUCAGAAACGGGGCACGUUCCACAUCGGGGCCAUUUGGAAAUUCGGAUGCCGGGAUACCCAAGAGGAAGAGUGUUGUCUGACCAGGGUCCGCCCGUGAAGAAAUCAGAUCCAGAGGAGCACACGCCCUGCAGGCCUCCGCACUCAGCACCCACAGGAUGCACGCACUCUGAUGCACACACCGGCAUAUCCAUGUGCACACACGCAGCACAUGUGUGAACAUGCAUCACCCCACACACAUGCACCCCCGCGCACAGGCACACGGGCACACACACACACACACACACACGCCCGCGCGCACACACACGUGGACACCAAGGGAAAGGACUGGAAAGGUGAAGACCACCUGUGAAGGGCACUCCUGAGUUGCCGCUUCCUUAAUUCUUCAGUCUCUUAAAAUUCAUUAUCUUACUACAAUAAACGUUCACUGUCUUGGAAUAGAAAUCUUCCAAAAUAGAAACUAAAGAAUGUACUUUAUUCCAAAGGUGGAUCAUCAAUGGAUUUCAUUUAAGCUGUGAUAUUCACCUUUUUAGAAUUAGGAAAGGAAUACACGCACAUUCUAAGAACUUUCAACAUCCCGCCAGGAGCAGAUGAGAGACUGGAAAGUCGCGAGCCCCAUAAACAGUUUGGUGCAUAUCUCCCUGGUGUGGUUGCUCUCAUUCUGUCUCCUUCUGUCUGUCUCUCUCGCACACGCACAUUCAUUUUCAUAGAUGUCUGUCUCCCUGUUGAUGUCACAUAUCCGUGUUCUGACGGAUGGGCCGCACGGGUCCCAUUGCCUCUCCAUGAACCUGAGUUGUGUUCCCAACUCCCAGCCAUUGCAACCAGUGCUGUCAUGACUACUGUUGAAAAGAUAUCUUGCAAACCUUGGGCAAGACCUCCUGUGGGCCACACUCCUGGCAUUCGCACUGCCAGCAAAGGUGGGGUCCUGGGGAACUUGGAAGGGUCCUGCAGGCUAUUCUCACAGAGAGCAGUGUCCUUUCCCCCUGCUCUCCAGGGAUCUGCGGGGGCCUCUGAUUCCCCAAAUUCUCACCAGGGUUGGUCGCAACCAGACCAGAAACCUGCCAGUCUGGUGGUGACCAAUGCCAUCUCCACGGUGUUUACGUUUGCACGUGUCCUCACGGGGGAGGUCGAGCAUCUC